rnacentral:rRNA from 1 species
CUAACUACGUGCCAGCAGCCGCGGUAAUACGUAGGGAGCGAGCGUUGUCCGGAAUUACUGGGUGUAAAGGGUGCGUAGGCGGCAAGAAAAGUCAGAUGUGAAAUACCGGGGCUUAACCCCGGAGCUGCAUUUGAAACUUUCCAGCUUGAGUGAAGUAGAGGCAAGCGGAAUUCCCUGUGUAGCGGUGAAAUGCGUAGAGAUAGGGAGGAACACCAGUGGCGAAGGCGGCUUGCUGGGCUUCAACUGACGCUGAGGCACGAAAGCGUGGGUAGCAAACAGGAUUAGAUACCCUGGUAGUCCACGCUGUAAACGAUGAUUACUAGGUGUGGGCGCAAAAGCGUCCGUGCCGGAGUCAACACAAUAAGUAAUCCACCUGGGGAGUACGACCGCAAGGUUGAAACUCAAAGGAAUUGACGGGGGCCCGCACAAGCAGUGGAGUAUGUGGUUUAAUUCGAAGCAACGCGAAGAACCUUACCAGGUCUUGACAUCCAACUAACGAAGUAGAGAUACAUUAGGUGCCCUUCGGGGAAAGUUGAGACAGGUGGUGCAUGGUUGUCGUCAGCUCGUGUCGUGAGAUGUUGGGUUAAGUCCCGCAACGAGCGCAACCCUUGUCCAUAGUUGCUACGCAAGAGCACUCUAUGGAGACUGCCGUUGACAAAACGGAGGAAGGUGGGGAUGACGUCAAAUCAUCAUGCCCCUUAUGACCUGGGCUACACACGUACUACAAUGGCCGUAAACAGAGGGAAGCGAGACAGUGAUGUGGAGCAAACCCCGAAAAACGGUCCCAGUUCAGAUUGUAGGCUGCAACUCGCCUACAUGAAGAUGGAAUUGCUAGUAAUCGCGAAUCAGCAUGUCGCGGUGAAUACGUUCCCGGGCCUUGCACACACCGCCCG